GAUGAAUAAGAAGAAAAAAUAACAGUACCUCAAUGAACAGGAAGUUUCCCUAGUCCCUCGUCUCAACCGGAACAGGAUGCAAAUUCCAAUUUUUUGUCGAAACCACCUCUUGCAGAAAUGCAAACGUAAGGUUGCCUACAAUAGACCUUGGUGGUCCGGCCUUGCUUACAAUAGACCUUGUUGGUCCGGCCCUGCCUACAACCGACCUUGCUGGUCCGGCCCUGCCUACAACAGACCUUGGUGGUCCAGCCCUGCCUACAAUAGCUCGCUCAUAGCGGGAGUUUAGUGCACCAGGCUGCCGUGUUGGUGGUUGCUACUAUAUUGCUAGUUGAGAUUCUUAUGCUAGUUGAAGUAUCAGAGUACUAUUACUUCUCAUUUUUAUUUG
rnacentral:lncRNA from 1 species